rnacentral:rRNA from 1 species
AUUCCUACGGGACGCAGCAGUGAGGAAUAUUGGUCAAUGGCCGAGAGGCUGAACCAGCCAAGUCGCAUGAGGGAUGACGGCCCUACGGGUUGUAAACCUCUUUUGUCGGGGAGCAAGACCCGCCACGAGUGGCGGAGCGAGAGUACCCGAAGAAAAAGCAUCGGCUAACUACGUGCCAGCAGCCGCGGUAAUACGGAGGAUGCGAGCAUUAUCCGGAUUUAUUGGGUUUAAAGGAUGCGCAGGCGGACCAUCAAGUCAGCGGUAAAAUAGUGGGGCCCAACCCCAUCCCGCCGUUGAAACUAGCG